rnacentral:rRNA from 1 species
GACGAACCGUGCGAACGUUAUUCGGAAUCACUGGGCUUAAAGCGCGUGUAGGCGGGAGGGCACGUCCGUUGCUGAAAUCCCCCGGCUCAACCGGGGAACGGGCGCGGAUACGACUCUCCUUGAGGGGCGUAGGGGGACCUGGAACUUCCGGUGGAGCGGUGAAAUGCGUUGAGAUCGGAAGGAACGCCCGUGGCGAAAGCGAGGUCCUGGACGCCUACUGACGCUGAGACACGAAAGCGUGGGUAGCAAACAGG